GACGAACGCUGGCGGCGUGCUUAACACAUGCAAGUCGAACGAUGAAGCCGGAGCUUGCUCCGGUGGAUUAGUGGCGAACGGGUGAGUAACACGUGAGCAAUCUGCCCUUGACUCUGGGAUAACUGCGGGAAACUGUAGCUAAUACCGGAUACGACACCUUGGGGCAUCCCCGGGUGUGGAAAGAAUUGCGGUCAAGGAUGGGCUCGCGGCCUAUCAGCUAGUUGGUGAGGUAAUGGCUCACCAAGGCGACGACGGGUAGCCGGCCUGAGAGGGUGACCGGCCACACUGGAACUGAGACACGGUCCAGACUCCUACGGGAGGCAGCAGUGGGGAAUAUUGCACAAUGGGCGAAAGCCUGAUGCAGCAACGCCGCGUGAGGGAUGAAGGCCUUCGGGUUGUAAACCUCUUUUAGCAGGGAAGAAGCGAAAGUGACGGUACCUGCAGAAAAAGCACCGGCUAACUACGUGCCAGCAGCCGCAGUAA
rnacentral:rRNA from 1 species